rnacentral:rRNA from 1 species
GAUGAACGCUGGCGGCGUGCCUAAUACAUGCAAGUCGAGCGAACAGACGAGGCGCUUGCUCCUCUGACGUUAGCGGCGGACGGGUGAGUAACACGUGGAUAACCUACCUAUAAGACUGGGAUAACUUCGGGAAACCGGAGCUAAUACCGGAUAAUAUAUUGAACCGCAUGGUUCAAUAGUGAAAGACGGUUUUGGUGUCACUUAUAGAUGGAUCCGCGCCGCAUUAGCUAGUUGGUAAGGUAACAGCUUAUCAAGGCAAAGAUGCGUAGCCGACCUGAGAGGGGGAUAGCCCACACUGGAGCUUAGACACGGACCAGACUCCUACGGGAGGCAGCAGUAGGGAAUCUUCCGCAAUGGGCGGAAGCCUGGCGGAGCAACGCCGCGUGAGUGAUGAAGGUCUUCGGAUCGUAAAACUCUGUUAUUAGGGAAGAACAAAUGUGUAAGUAACUAUGCACGUCUUGACGGUACCUGAUCAGAAAGCCACGGCUAACUACGUG